rnacentral:lncRNA from 1 species
AUGCCGUCGGCCUGCCCAAAUCUGGCACCCCCCGAUCGGACGCGCGAACUCAUGAAUGACGUGGCCGCCAGCCCGCCACAGCACCAGCAGCAUCCUCAACCCCGAAGCAUCCUCAGACCCCUAUGCCACCACAAGGAGAGGGAGAAGAAGGGGGAGGGGGCGCCGGCGCGAGGGGGAGGCGGAGACGCGGACUCAUCAUGCACCUCAGUCUGGUACUCGAACUCCUCGCUGGCCGCCUCCUCCUCCCCGGCGGGCUUCUCGGUGACGGAGGCGUCGCACCUGACCCCGACCAAUCUCCCCUUCCCCUUCCUCCUCCCGGCCUCCCACCUCACCCCUCUCACCGACGCCGCUGCUCCCCUACCCUGCACCGCAACCGCAUUCCGCGGCGUGGGACUUCGCGUCGCCGUGGGGCUCGGUCGUAGCGCCGCCACCGACGACGCCCCUAGGGUCCUGUUCAGCGCUGGCAGUCAGAGGGAGGAGGGGACACGAGCAGUCAGAUCCGCGUGCCCCGACCAUAUGGGGGCCGGAUCCAGAUGCCGACGGUCGCCAGCGAUGACUGCAGUGGCAGUGUAGGUGGAGAAGA